rnacentral:rRNA from 1 species
GACAGAGGUGCCGAGCGUUAGGCGGAAUCACUGGGCUUAAAGCGUGUGUAGGCGGGCGGGCAAGUACCUUGUGAAGUCCCACGGCUCAACCGUGGAACUGCUGGGUAUACUGCCUGUCUUGAGCCAGCUAGGGGCGAGCGGAACAGACGGUGGAGCGGUGAAAUGCGUAGAUAUCGUCUGGAACGCCGAAGGUGAAAACAGCUCGCUGGGGCUGUGCUGACGCUGAGACACGAAAGCCAGGGGAGCGAACGGG